ACAAAAUUAACCGAACUGCAGGUGUGAAAACACCCGCAGACAUACGUAAAGAUGGACGACAUGACAGCUCCCCAAAAGUGGAGCCAAAAUAUCCGGAUUGCCCCCUGGUGGCUGGCUGCAGUAUAAACCCCGCCUCUUCCAUGUGAGUGGAUGGGACAUACGUAGUUCUUAUCGUAGUGAUGUAUGUUCAAGAGUUCAAAUGUUUCUGACAAGUUUGGUUUUAAUUACCUCAGCCAAGGAGAUUAUGUCUUCACCCCUUUGUCUGUUUCAAUCAGCAGGAUUACGCAUAAACCAAUGAACGGAUUGCCACGAAAUUCGGUGGAAGGAUGGGACGUGGCCUCGGACCCACGUUUUUUUUUUUUUUAAAAGUCACCUGGAUCUGCAUGUCUAGUAUGACACUCCCUACAAUUACUCACUUUCCAGCAUGCCUUGUGCCUUCCGGCCUACAAACAGAACCACAACCCUUCAGGGUGAAGCGAACAGCAAAGCCAACCAUAAAAUCAGCUGUAUGAAAGGCAAUUAUAUCUGCAGACCCACAAAGUGGGGGGGAACGGCCAUGUGAUAAAGUGGCAAAUGAAAAAACUGCAGAUAGGCGCCAUGGUAACGCGGCUCUCUCAGCGGCACAAACAAACGGCGCCGGAGCAGAAAUGGAGAGGUUGAGAGCGAAUGCUAAUCAUAAGAUGUUCUAAUGCACUUCCUCACGCUGACAAAACACAGACAUGCUCUUUAAACAGCCGUUGUCAGCGUCGCAGUCAGGACUGAAUUGAUAAUGUGUCUGUCUCUCCGCUUAGCGAUGGAAAAAAAAGCGAGGCGCAGGAGGAACAGUGGAGGCCAAAAAAAAAAAUCAAGUGUGAGAUCCUGUUCCCAGCUGUGCUUCACGUUCAUCUGGGAUCGCCCCCGGAUCAGAACCCGAGUGAGUGAUCAGGAGAAAGACCUGGAAGGAGAUGAGCAGGGAGCAGCGUCCGUCAGCCGCCUGUAAUCCAAGGCUCGGAUCUCACCAGCGUUACGGCGACGACAAACCAAAAGCACUUCCACAUGCUGUACUAGAAGUCCAAAGCCUGGUGCCAGAGCGACAGUUCGCCCCUCAGUUUUGGACUCCGGCCCGCUCCAAACCUCCCUGUUUUGGACAAUCCUCACCACGCUUCGCUUUUCAGUGAGAAGAAACACCACAGGUAUGCUGUGCAGCGACACACACACAGACACACACACGCACACACACACACCCAACGCAGACUUACGUCAGCGCGGAGGAACAUGACAGAAACUCGUUGCCGCGGGGAAAGUCACCGUUAAUAAGUAAUAGUCGUUUUCCAAGUCUCUUUAAUGACAAAUUGAUUGUAUGCCAUUAAAUUGCAAUGCAGAGAUGAUGCACCACGUCGACGUGUCUUACUCGUGGUCCCCACACAUCGUCCACAAAACACACACAGACUUUCCAAACCCGCUCACAACUUUUCUCGCAACUUUUUUAAAAAUUUGAUGUGAUUAAUCCGCGCAUCCACUCCCUUGGCCCUGUCUCUUUUGUGUUUAUCGUAG
rnacentral:lncRNA from 1 species